rnacentral:sRNA from 1 species
UCAACAUGACAGCCGACAUGUGUGCUGC